rnacentral:rRNA from 1 species
GUGCCAGACUCCUACGGGAGGCAGCAGUGGGGGAUAUUGCACAAUGGGGGAAACCCUGAUGCAGCGACGCCGCGUGUGGGAAGACGGUCUUCUGGAUUGUAAACAACUGUCCCCAGGGACGAAAAUGACGGUACCUGGGGAGGAAGCUCCGGCUAACUACGUGCCAGCAGCCGCGGUAAUACGUAGGGGGCAAGCGUUAUCCGGAUUUACUGGGUGUAAAGGGAGCGUAGACGGAUGGAUAAGUCUGAAGUGAAAGCCCGCGGCUCAACUGCGGGACUGCUUUGGAAACUGUGCAUCUUGAGUACGGGAGGGGCAGGCGGAAUUCCUGGUGUAGCGGUGAAAUGCGUAGAUAUCGGGAGGAACACCGGUGGCGAAGGCGGCCUGCUGGACUGCGACUGACGUUGAGGCCCGAAAGCGUGGGGAGCAAACAGGAUUAGAUACCCGCGUAAU